rnacentral:rRNA from 1 species
GACGUAGGGAGCUAGCGUUAUCCGGAUUUACUGGGCGUAAAGCGUGCGUAGGCGUUUUGAUAAGUUCCUACUUAAAGGCCAAAGCUUAACUUUGGAAUUGGUAGGAAGACUAUCAAAAUAGAGGCUUGCAGAGGCAGGUGGAAUUCCCGGUGGAGUAGUGAAAUGCGUUGAUAUCGGGAAGAACACCAAUGGCGAAGGCAGCCUGCUAGGCAAGUUCUGACGCUGAGGCACGAAAGCGUGGGGAGCGAACGGG